GGUAUAGGGGGAGCUGAGAAAGAGAGAGAGAAAAAGAGAGAGAGAGAGGAAACACAGCGAGGAAACACAGCGAGGCUGGGAGGAAACCCAUUCCACUCCAAAUGAAUCGUGAUCAGCUCUGAGGACGCACCACAGCUGCAUCUCGAGAGCCUCUGCAUCAGUUCCUCAGCGCACCAUCAACCCCAUUGCUGCCUCCAUCCCUCUAUCACCACCAGCCUUCAGGUACCAGCCCUCUGCACCAUGAACUACCUGCGCCGCCGUCUCUCCGACAGCACCUUCAUCUCCAACCUCCCCAAUGGCUACUUGUCGGACCUCCAGAAGCCGGACCCACCCCAGCCGCCUCCACCCGAAGCGGGUCAAACGAGCCCCCAGCCGCCCGCCGUCUCCCCCACCCCGGAGAGGAAACCCCAGCCUGCCGCUCAGCCCUCAGGGACGGGCUUCUUCACCUCCAUCACCAACGUGGUGAAGCAGACGGCAGCCUCGGCCGGGCUGGUGGAGCAGACACCUGUGCCCGUGUCCAAGAGGUUCAAGAUCCUGCUGGUGAUCGACGAGCCGCAGCAGGAGUGGGCCAAAUUAUUCAGAGGGAAGAAGCUGCAGGGAGAUUACGACAUCAAAGUGGAACAGGCUGAGUUUCGUGACCUGAAUGUGGUGUCUCAUGCUAACGGGACCUGUAACGUGGCUAUGCAGGUCCUUAGGAAUGGAACCAGGGUCGUGAGGUCGUUCAAGCCCGAUUUCGUCCUCAUCCGCCAGCACGCCUUCAGCAUGACUGAAAACGCAGAUUUCCGCAACCUGAUCAUCGGUCUGCAGUACGCCGGGAUCCCCAGCGUCAACUCCCUGGAGUCCAUCUACAACCUCUGUGAUAAACCCUGGGCGUUUGCUCAGCUGAUCAGCACACACAAAAGACUUGGAGCAGAGAAAUUCCCACUGAUCGAACAGACCUUCUACCCAAACCACAGAGAGAUGGUAACCAUGCCAACGUUCCCUGUUGUGGUGAAAAUUGGACAUGCUCACGCUGGAAUGGGGAAGGUGAAAGUCGACAAUCACACUAAAUUCCAGGACAUAGCGAGCGUGGUCGCCCUCACACAGACCUACUCAACCUCCGAGCCUUUCAUCGAUUCCAAGUACGACAUCAGGAUUCAGAAAAUCGGCAACGAUUACAAAGCUUACAUGAGAACCUCUAUCUCAGGCAACUGGAAGUCCAAUACGGGCACCGCCAUGCUGGAACAAGUGGCCAUGACAGAUAGGUAUAAGCUGUGGGUGGACGCCUGCAGUGAGCUGUUUGGAGGUCUGGAUCUCUGCGCUGUUAAAGCCAUUCAUGGCAAAGAUGGGAAAGACUACAUUACUGAUGUGGUGGGCUCAUCCAUGCCCCUGGUGGGAGAUCAUCAGGCAGAAGACAGGCAGCUUAUUGCUGAAAUGGUUCUAGCCAAAAUGGACCAGGCUAUGGCCCAAAACCCUCAGAGACCAACUACAAUUCAGCCAACACAGAACACUGCUCAGAAGGAAGCCCUAACGGACCUGAAAAAGACCCCGCCGCAGAAGCCCCCUCCUCAAGGUUGUUUGCAGUACAUUCUUGACUGUAAUGGCGUUGCAGUAGGCCCAAAACCGGUCCAGGCAAACUGAGGGGCGAGAGAGAGGCCAGAAUGAUGGCGCUGUCGGCGCGCUGAGCACUAAAGGCAGACGUUCAGACAGCGAGAUGAGCCGUGGGCGAUGGUGGUGGUGGAGAGGGUGGUUGAGAGGGUGGAGAGGGUGAGGGUGGUGUGGGGGGGAGGAGGCGGUCUCUCUUCUCUCAGCGAAUCAGAGAGAAAGGCCUGGACUGUGUUUUUCCCCUAUGCAGUGUCAACCUGUACUUUAGCUGUGCGCUUGUGAUGGUUGCUUGUGUUUCUCUGUAAAGCGGUUGUUUUCUUCAGGGCUGUUUUUACGUGGUGUUUUACGAGCAGAGUGUGCCUACGGAGUUCGGUGUCGCUUUUACCCCUCAUGUACUGUAACUAUUCUGCUUUUUUUAUUUGUAUUUUUACUUUCCUUUCCUCUUUCGUCUCCAUUUCGGUGUGUUCCUUCCUAUCAGUGGCGUUCAAACUAAAAGCAGUUUGACCUUGUGUGUGUUGACCUAGUAUAUAUGUAUGUAUGUGUGUGCGUGUAUGUAUGUGUAUGUGUGUAUGUAUGGCCAUUGUGGAGAUGAUAUAAAUACGGUAGAAGUGUUUUAAAAUACAUACUGUACUUUAAUUUGUACUUUACGUACUUUAAUAUCGUUGUUUUGCAUGAGCACUUCAAAGGCAGAAGGGCGACCAGGUGCAGAAAAGGUGAGAUAUAGAUACUAUAGAUAGUCGGACAUGCUGUGCUUCUUUUUGGUGACAUCGCUGUCGUCGUCGUCGUCAUUAUUAAUAUUAUUAUUAAUAAUAAUAAUAAGAAUCAGACACAUUAGUAGUGCUUACAGCAUUGUGAAUGUGUGAUACAGUAAAUAUCGUCAGCAGUAGUUAUUUAUAAGCAGUUAUUUGUUACAGUGUAGUCUUACAGUUUACAGUUUCAGUGUGUUAGUCAGGUUUUCAGUACUGUAGAACUUCAGGAGUAUCAGUUUCUAGACUAGUUUCUAGCUUCAUAGUGACCUCACGUUCUUCUCCACCGGAUCUGAAACCUUUUCUAUCAUUUUUUGCGACAGAUGUUCUUAUCUGUGGACGUACUGUAGUGUAAGAUAUGAUUAGUGAAAUGCAUGUGGUAGUAGAUAGUAGAUAGAUACAGUAGAUAGAUGAAUAGUAGAAUCAGUAGGGAUGUUAGUUUAGGUACACUUUUAAAAAUAUAAGGUGCUACAAAGGUUUCUUUGUUUCCAUAAAGAAUAGAAAUAAAAGUAUAAUAGUUGUAAGAAAAGAUCAUUCAGUACCAAAGUCAGUACUUAAUUUUCUAAAUUUUCUAAAACCUGUUUGCUCAGAGAUGUGCAAAAAGGAAAGGUGCUGUGGUUUUGAUUGAAACCCCAAGUGUUUAAACUUAACAGAUCAGAAUAUUCCAGAUUUAGAUCCUAAUUUUGCUGUUUCUACCAAUUUAAAGCAUUAGACAGAUAAUUCACCUUCCCUCUGGUAAUGAACAAAGACAUUAGGUUCUAAGACCAGAUUAAUAAAAUAAUCAAUACAUGAACAAAACAUUUAUUAAUUAAGAAAUAAAAUAAAGGAAAUCCAAUAAAAUAAAUCCUGGAAUCGAAUCUAUUUAAUACAGUUGGUGUGGCACAGUGGAUAACACCACCCCCUGCCAGUAAGGUACACAUCAUAUGUGGAGACUAGGGUUCAAUUCCCGGUCUGGGGGACUGAAUGCUGCACUACACCAAUAAGAGUCCCUGGGCAAGACUCCUAACACUACAUUAGUUCGCCUCUGUAAUAGGAAUAACCUUGUUUGUAAUUCUGGACAAUAGUUUCAGCUAAAAUGCUGUAAAUGUAAUGUAAUUGUAAUGUCAUGUAAUUAAUACAAUUAGUACAUUAUUGUAAUAUAAUUUCAUCGUCUGCUCAAAAACCCUGUAGAUUACCAACUUCUAACAGGAUUUCUAAAAGAGAUUAACCCUUUUUAUCAUUUUUAACACAGGAAACAAAACUAAAGAAAAUGCAGAGGUGAAAACAAUUUUUGAUUAAGUCAAGCUAGCUAAUGUACUAAAGUAUACUAACAUUAGUGGUGACUUAGUUAAUAUACUAACUCUAGCAGCAAGCUAGCUAACGUUACAGAGGAGAGAAUUAAGGUUAACAGAGAGCUAACCAACAUUACUGGGGAGAAAAUUUUAGCGAAAGGUUAGCAAAAAGCUAGCUAACAUUAUCGGUGAGCUAUCUUACCUACUAAUGUUAGUAGCGAGCUAGUUAAUGUUACCAGUCAAUGUUACAACUAAGUUUAAUAGAGCGCCAGCUAACAUUAGCAACAGGUUAACUAAUGUACUAUCGUUAGUGCCGAGCUAGCUAACAUAUUAACUUUAGCAAAAGUUAGCUAAUAUACUAACAUUAGCAGCGACUUAAUUAACAUACUAAUUUUAGUGGCGAGUUAUAAUAAACUUUAGCGGAAAGUAAGCUAACAUACUAACUUUACAGACAAGUUAGCUAACGUAAUUACAUUAGUGGUGAGUUAGUUAAUAUACUAACUUUAGCAUCAAGCUAGCUAACCUUACAGAGGAGAGAACUAACAUUAACGGAGAGCUAGCUAACAUUAGCAGCGAGCUAGCUAACAUACUAACAUUAGCGGCUAGCUAGCUAACAUUACAUUAAUGUUAGUAGCGUGCUAGCUAAUGUUACCAGGGUGACAACUAAGUUUAACAAAGAGCUAGCUGACACUAGCAAUGAGUUUGCUAACAUACUAAUGUUAGCAAUGAGUUAGCUAACAUACUAACUUUAGCAGUGAGUUGGCUAACAUAUUAACUUUGGCAAAAGUUAGCUAAUAUACUAACAUUAGCAGUGACAUAAUUAACAUACUAAUUUUAGCAGCAAGUUAAUAUACUAACUUUAGCGACAAGUAAGCUAACAUACUAACUUUAACGACGAGUUAGCUAACAUACUAUUGUUAGCAGCGAAUUAGCUAACAUACUAACUUUAUCAACAAGUUAGCUAACAUACUAUUGUUAGCAGCGAAUUAGCUAACAUACUAACUUUAUUGAUAAGUUAGCUAACAUACUAACAUUAGCAGUGAGUUAGAUACCAUACUAACAUUAUUGAUAAGUUAGCUAACACACUAACGUUAGUGACGAGUUAGCUAGCAUACUAACUUUAGCCACAAGUUAGCUAAUACAAGAACUAUGGUUAGCAAAGAGCUAACCUUGAUAAUUUCCUCUUUUUUUCCAUAUGUGCAGGAAGCUAGAAAAGAGCUUGUGCAAAUUACAUAUGUUUUGUUGGCUCUGUUCUGCAUCACAAUGGAACAAAAUUAAAGAAAAUGCAGACGUAAAAGUUUUUGAUUCAAUCAAUUUUUGAUUCAAUCAAGGUUGUCUUCAAUACAACCAAUUCAUACAAUAAAAAUGUGUAAAAUCUCAACAAACGUUGUCCUAAAAACUGACUGGCAUGUAUGUCUACUUUACUUCAAAUACUUUUAAGUUAUUUUUAGGUAAAUUUUAAUGCUAAGCUAAAAAAAAACAUCCAGCAAAAUUGUACUAGGAUUCUAAGAGUCAAAUAAAAAAUAUUUCUCGUUUAUUAAUUGGAGAGAAGAUGCAUUUUGUGAUACUUUAGUAACUAAAGACUCCUCACGAUCUCGUUUUAGUUUUAUGAGGUUAUUUUCCAAACCAAAAAUUAGUUCACAAAAACAUAUAUUAUUUUGAUAAUGUUUUUUGUGUUAAGAAUCAAAGAAUAUUAGCGGUACAGACUACUACAAAAAUAUAAAAAUAUAUUAAAUUCUGUAUAAAUAGGUACCAGUAGGGUUUUUUUUAAACAAUAAUCACCCAAAGAACCCUUUGUAGCAUCUUUAUUUUAAUGUGUGUAGGUUGUUGGGUAGUUAGUAGAUAAUAGUAGUUUUGUUUUCCUUCCCUGUAGAUUAGAAUUAGACAGUAUAUCAUUUAUUUAUUAUUUCUUUAAGCCAAAGGAUUUACAGUAUUUUUUUUUUUGGUUUGUCUUUCUGUUUAUUUAUACUUUGUUACUCACUUUCAUUUAUGGCAGCUAGGAGGUUCUGCAGUGAUUGUACCAGAAUAGGUUCUGAAGACUGGAAUUUGGGGAAACUAAGUCUAUUUAAGGGUAAAUGCUGGAAGGACAAAGAUGAAGAUGAGUUUUUAAAUGAAUAAUAGACAGUCUAUAUUUAAUAAAUUGUUAGAUGUUAGAUGUUUUAAGCCAUAUUAGCACGAGACAAUGGUGGAGAUUUGAGAGGCGGCACUGUAAGUGUGUGUUUAUGCUCACGUUUGGCCCCGCUGUGGUCCGUUUGUUGAAGUUCGUCACUGUGAGGAUGGUGGAAUGGGUGCAGACUCUCACACUGCUGAAGGACGUCUUUGUGUUUUUACUGCCAUUCUUUCGAUUGUUUGCCUUAUUUACGUCAGUCCAAGUGCAAUAUGUAUACACCGACCAAGCAGAACAUUAUGACCACCUCAUUGUUAAUCUGUUUUUCUGUAUACUUUCUUAUUAUCAUCCUUCUUUCACCCUGUUCUAUAAUACUCAGAACCCCACAGGAGAGAAAACCACCACAGAACAGAUAUUACUAUUAUUAUUUGGGUGUUGGGUCAUUUACUCUCAGUACUGCAGUGAUUAGCACUGAUUGGCAUGGUGAAAGUGGUGUACGAGGUGUUAGUGUGUGUUGAGCUGGUGGUACAGUGAGUGGAUCAGAUACAGCAGUGAUUAGCAGUGAUUAGCAUGGUGGUGGUGUAUGAGGUGUUAGUGUGUGUUGAGCUGGUGGUACAGUGAGGGGAUCAGAUACAGCAGUGAUUAGCAGUGAUUAGCAUGGUGGUGGUGUAUGAGGUGUUAGUGUGUGUUGAGCUGGUGGUACAGUGAGUGAAUUAGAUACAGCAGUGCUGCUGGAGUUUUUAAACACCUCAGUGUCACGGUUGCACUGAGAAUAGUCCACCAAGAGUGUCUGUAGGCAGCGUCCUGUGGACAGCAUUCUGUGGGCAUUGUCCUGUAGUGUCCUGUGGAAACAGCAUCCUCUCAGCAGCAUCCUGUUGGUAUCAUCCUUUUAGCGACAUCCUGUGUGCAGCAUCCUGUGGACAGGGUCCUAUUAGCACUGUCCUGUAGGCAGCAUACUGUAGGCAUUCUGUGAGCAGCAUCUUACGAGCGUCAUCUUGUGGGCAGGGUCCUGUGGAUAGUGUCCUGUGGACAGUGUCCUUUGGACAGAGUCCUGUGGGCAACAUCCUGAGGGCAGCAUCCUGUAGGUAGCAUCCUGUUAGCACCGUCCUGUAGGCAGCAUCUUGUAGAUAGCAUCCUCUGGGCAGCAUCCUGUUGGUAUCAUCCUUUUUGUACCAUCCUGUAGGCAGCAUCCUGUGGGAAGGGUCCUGUAAGCAGCAUCCUGUAGGCAGCGUCCUGUGGGCAGCAUUCUGUGGGCAUUGUCCUGUAGUGUCCUGUGGAAACAGCAUCCCCACCGCAGCAUCCUGUAGGUAACAUCCUGUGGACAGCAUCUUGUAAGUAGCAUCCUGUUAGCAUCGCCCCGUAGACAGCAUCCUUUAGGCAGUGUUCUUUAGGCAACAAUUUGUGAGCAGCAUCCUAUGGGCAGCAACCUAUGGACAGCAUCCUGUAGGUAUCAUCCUGUUAGCACUAUCCUGUGGACAGCAUCCUGUAGGCAGCAUCCUGAGGGCAGCGUCCUGAUGGCAGCCUCCUAAAGGGCAACGUCCUGUGGACAGUGUCCUGUAGGCAGCUAAGAGGUAGGUAGGAGUGUGUAAAAGAGUGGAGGACAGUGAGAGAUUAAACACCAGCAGCACUGCUGUAACACACACUAACACCUCAUAAACCACCACCAUGCUAAUGAGUGCGAAUCACUGCAGUGCUGAGAUUAAAGGAUCCACCACCCAAAUAAUAAUAUUAAUAAUAAUAAUAAUAAUAAUAAUAAUAAUAAUAAGCUGCUCUGUGGAGGUUUUCUCUCCUGUGGGGUUCUGAGUAUUAUAGAACAGGGUGAAAGAAGGAUAAUAAUAAAGUAUACAGAGAAACAGUAGAACUCAGUGGGUAUAGAAACAUGGAGGUGGUCAUAAUCUUACGCUUGGUCGGUGUAUGUACUUAAUAUUUUUGCCACAGAGCCACUCAGGCAGGGAUAUCAUUCAUGAUUGUAGUGGUGAAAACUUGUAUUUCUGACUUUUCCCUGACUAGAGGUUUGGUUUCCCCUGUGUCUCUGUGUUUUAGUCACGAGGGUAAGCAUUCCAGUGCAUGUUGGGUGGGGAAAAACCAGUAUAUUUGCUGUAAAAUGUAUGUUGAUGUUGAGAAUAAUUCUGUGUGUCUGUGUCUUUUAAUGAUCUCUGAUGAUGCCACUGAUGACGAUGGCUUCAGCAGUCGCUUUAGCGGGAUAUUAACAUUUGUGUCCUUGGUUUAUACUAACGCAGUCGUCCCCGAGUGUAGUACUCUUCUGUCAAAAGAAGCAUGACACUAUUUGGUUGAAAUUGUUGUACAUUUUUAUUCUAAACACAGAUGUUUGAUAUAAUUGUAAAUGUACUGUAUUUGUGUAAAUCACAAUAUGUCCAAAACGCUGUGCGCGCCUAUCUAAAGCUAUAGAUAUAUCAUACACGAUACAAACAUGACUGUAGAAAAUAAGAGUAUAUAAUAGAGUAUAAUAGAGAGUUUUAACGAGUCUGAAUGGUUUCUACCUGAACGAGUUGAACUGAAAUCAUGCGCCUGAUCUUUAGAUUUUGAGAUUUCAGAUCAAGCAAGUUAACGUCAGACUCAAAGAGUAAGCAAAGGCCAAUAGAACAUCGGAAAACUACCCAGACAAAUGCUGAAAACGUGAAAACGCUGUCAGUGCAUUUGUGAAAUCUUCCUUUCUCACAGGCAAUAAAGCUUACAUCGCAAUAUA